rnacentral:rRNA from 1 species
CGGAACACGUACACAACCUUCCGAUAAGUGGGGAAUAGCCCAGAGAAAUUUGGAUUAAUACCCCGUAACAUAUAGAGUAGGCAUCUUCUUUAUAUUAUAGCUUCGGCGCUUAUUGAUGGGUGUGCGUCUGAUUAGGUAGUUGGCGGGGUAACGGCCCACCAAGCCUACGAUCAGUAGCUGAUGUGAGAGCAUGAUCAGCCACACGGGCACUGAGACACGGGCCCG